rnacentral:lncRNA from 1 species
GGGAAGCCAUUUGCAUCUUCACUUCACAAACCUCUGUGUGAAACAAGCAUUACAAAUUUUGCCAAUGUACUUGUGCCAUUCAAUUUUAAACAUGAAUUCAAGUCAUAAAGACAACAAGACUGGCUUGUCAUCUGAGAGUGUGUUUGAGCAAAUCACCUUCCCUAGGCCAAAGACCUUGUUUAUGGCCCCUUUUUGCUGGGCUCUAUCCCAUCAAGUAGUGCCACCUAGCCAAAGUCUUCUGCCCCGAUUCACAGCAGCUCGUGGGGGUGUGCCCUUCCAGGAGUGCACUUAGCGUAGCAAAAGCGUGAAAUAAACAUGGCUAGUGACUCAUAUUCCAGUGACAUCUGAGGUGCAGGUUUGAUCUGUGAGCCACCAUUACACCCCUUCAAAGAGCCCCAGUCGUUGAAUCCUGACUCCUUGUGAAAUGUCACAGUCUUUGUCAAGGAUGUGAUGUUGUGGACAGUCCACAGGGUUAGAACAUACAAAUUUGGAGUGAUUCGAUUUAGGAGAGGAUCUAAGGCUUCCCUUUGAAGGGGGUACUGGCCUUCAUGGCCCUUUCUCAUAGAAGGAAGAUUGUCUCCAGGCUGUAUGAUGGGGAACACGGAUCUCUUGGAGACUUCAAGGAAAGGCUCUGCACAGUUGCCACCUGCUAAGGUUAAAGCAGCUGCUCCAAGUGCUGGGUCUGUGGCUGAGUGCUGUGGGGGGAUGCAGAGGGAAGGCUGCUCUGGUGCUGGGCACUCGCAGUACUUGCAGGGGCAGCAGUGCCUGGUGCUGAGCUGCACCUCCCAGAGGGUGUCUGGGUGCUCCUGGGGAAGGCUGUGCUGCCCCAGGUCUGCAGCUGGGCCCUUCCAUGGUGACUGCCUGGGAUGGAGCUCAGGUGUCUGUAAGAUCCAUGCUUUGGUUUCCUGGUUUUUAGAUGUUCAAAAGUAUCUUUAGCAAUAGGAAAUGAAAAUGGAUUUAAAGAGUAAAUAACACUUUGCAUAGGAAGUGAGAUGUGUUGACAAUUAUUUUAAUUUUAUUGUUUUUACUCUGCUUCCAUAGUUGCAUAGUCAAACAUUUAUGCAACUGUUGAGCUUCUCCAUGAUAAAACACAAACAUGGGACCACACCCAGGUAGGUGACCUGCAAUCUCCAGGAUGCUGUGGUCCUGUAAACACUGUAGUGCUUUCAAACAAAGGGGUUUUAAACAACUCUGGUAUUUGAAAAAUAAUUCUGAAUUGAUCCAAACUUCAGAUCUUAGUAACAAUGGAAACAUGGUUUUGGGCAACGUAUGAUUGUCCUUAGGCAGAAGUGAGAAUAUGAUGCAUUUUCCCUUUUUGAAACUGAGAAUUGACAAAAGGAUUUUUAAUUAAAUGAAAAUACUUUGCCAAAAAGUAGAAUUGCUCAGUCAAUAAGACGUGAGUAUACAGAGUUAUAAUGUUGCAAAGGAAACUUACUGCUGAUUCUUAAAAGAACUAAAUUCUACUUCUGUUUUUGGUUGGAUUUGAGAUGGAUUUUUCUUUUGUGUGGUAGAAUCAGAUUUUAAGGUAAGACUUCUCUGUACUGUAAAUCCAGAAAGUGAAACUGGCCAGUUCCUGUUCAGUGUUUUGGAGCCUGUUUGACUUAUGGGCAUUUUUUAGAGAAUGUAUUCAUAAAUAGAUAUAAAUAUAAGUUGUAAUAAUGAUUUAGGGUUAUUUCAAGAGGCUUUUUGUUUUAUUUGUGAAUUUAAUAGUAUUCUGGGAUUGAUGCAGAACACUGAAGUAGGUAUGAGCUCCUACACUUAUUUCCAUAUUCUGGAAUUGCACUCUUACACGGAUUUGCCUUCAUUGCAUUUUCCUAUCUGGCUUGGGUUUUCAGAGAAGUCCCAAAACUUGAAAGAUGUGUGGACAAAACAGUCACAGGUUUUUUAAAAGAUUUAGCUACAUUUUAAGCUGGUGCUGCUUUUCUUUCUACUUUAAAACACUUAAUUUUUGAUUUGAACAGCCCAAAUGAUUACACAGUAUUGAAAAUUACAAUUUUAAACCUUUAGUGAUUAUAUAUGAGAAAUAGUAUGUACUUUUAUGACUACCUUCAGCAUUAUAUGCUUGAAGAUGAGGUACCACCUCUGAAACAGUGUUUUCUCCAUUUCAUGUGCUGUGUAUAACACUUUGUCUGAAUGUUUCCAAAUUACAAACAUCGUCUCUCAAGAGAGCCCCAUGAACUAAGACAUUUCAGUUUUUCAAGUGGAUAAACCAAUGCACCAAGGUCACAUGCAAGGUUGAUAAAGGAGUGGGGAAUGAAGAUUGAUCUAAAUUCUUACUGCAGUCAUCUAACCUUUAGUUAUGCUCCUGUGCUCCUUUAAUUAUGUUACUUGACAAAAUUAAGGGGUGGAGGACAAGAAAAGGAAUUAAUCUAUUUACUGUCUGCCUGGACUCAUAAAUAUUACUUUGAAAUAAAUACCCGGACUGUAUCUUUUUACCCCAUAGAGUAAUUUUUGUCCCUUUGGAGUUGCUCAAGCCCAUGUUAAAGGUAUUGUUAGCUUUUAAUCUGUGCUGCUGGGAAGUAUUUAGCAGCUCAUUCACUUUUUUAACAGUACUUUUACACUGCAGCGUCUGCCUCCCUAGCCCUGAGGCAGUUAGAUCCUUAUUAUGGGGUUUGGCAGUUGCCAGAAGGAAAAAGCCAAAACAACCUCCCCUCACACCCUUAAAUUGUGAAUGGUGAAGCUCUUACCACUCCGGAAAGCGCGGCUUGUGCAGCGUUCCACUGCCGUGGUGGGGACAGUAAUGGGGGAAAAGCUGUUUGUAAAGGACUCCACCACGGGGCUGAUUCAUUUGGAGCGACACACAUACAUUUCUGAAACACUCCUAGCAUAGGAAAAGUAAUUUCUAGUAGAAGUUUCAAUCUGUCUGAGCCCGGAGUUGAGGUGUGUGCCCUGCCAAGGUGGCUGGGCUGUCCCUGACCUCUGCAGUCCUGGCUCCGGGGCAGCCGCCUGUCCCUGGCGCAGCUGGCAGCUCCUCCCGCAGGAGAGGGCACGACACAGGCCUGACACACUCCCGUCAUUACCGCCGCUUUGAUUUUGGAAAAGUGGCUUCCUGCAAAGGCCUCACAUGGCAUUGCAAAGAGGAAAAUGGCCUGAAUAAUUUUUGUCUAGUUCUUUAGUGGCUCUGUUUCAUUCCCUCUCUCAUAUAGUGGGCUUGAGAAAAAGUGGGAAACAAUUUGCCUGUUUAUUUUAACUUUUCAUUGCUGGCAUACAAAGUUUUACAAUUUUAUAAUUAUCUCUGUAUAGGGUCUUUGGAUUUCUAAUUUUAACAUCCAGUUUUUUUAAGCUGAAUCUAACUAUAAAAUGUAGGUAUUUUAUUUUCCAGCAAUGUGAAGCUAUGAUUUUCUAAUUUGGUAUAUUGGUUUAAUAACAUACCUGAAUUAUAGAGUCCUAAUCCUUCGUUUUUUUGCAUCUGGACAAUUGUUCUCUGGGCCAGCAGCAGUACAAUGCUGUUGUCUGAACCUGGGACAAAAGCUCCCACAUGGAAUCUGCAGUCCCACUGGGCAUAAUGUGGGAGAUUUCUGUCAUAUGCAUAAUGUUUUUACUAUAGUAACUAGCAAAUAGUCAAAACCCAUUUUUCUUGCCUUCUUUUAGAGUGAAGGCACUUGUGAUGAUGCACGUUUAUUCAUGCUUAAAUACCUACUGCUUAAUUAGCUUAUUUUGUCCCCAGUGUUUGAUGUGUUACAUCUAGUGUGGAAUGGAAUCUAUUCCUUUUACAUGCUGUGGAGCACUGGUUUGCCAGGGCUCCACAGUUCUGUAUGUGAUGGGAGUGAGCAGCAAAACUCAGUUCAGAGCAAGCUCCUGGCCCUGUCAGGGCAGUCAGUGCAGGAUCUGCCCGGCUCUCCCUGAGCUGCUGCUUUGUGCAGGAGCACUCAAAGUAAGGCACUGUGGGGAUUUGCACUCUGAGCAAUGGUAAAGUGCCUCUUAGAGCUGCAAUUGUAAAUUAUAUUUUCUUUUGAAUAUUUUGGUUUGCUCUCUAUCCCUAUAAAUAUGCUUCAUGGGAUUAUUGGGGGGGGGGGGGGGCGGUGUUUUCCUGCUCUAAGGAAAUGGGAUAAUCCUCUUAGCUCUUUAAAAAAAACACCCAAACUGUCUGUGACAUUGCAUGAAUUGAGCAGCAGUGGAAUUUGGGGAUUAAUCAGUGGGUCUAGACUAAAAAGGCAGUGUUAGUGUCAUGAAGAUAGUGUUAGGCAUCAAUUCAGUAUCCAAGCCUCCAAGGUUAAACAUCUGUGUUGAGAGUAUGCUCUUGCUUUAGUAGGUGCAGUGGGUAGGAAUAUAAAUGUUCAUUUGCUGAUAUGUGGCUGUCGUGAUUUUUGUUUCUUGUGCAUUUGGAAUUCUCGUUUCCCUUUGGGCUUGAAUUUUAUCAUGAUGCUGAAUUUAUGCAAGAGGUUCCUGCAGGUAUUAAAUCUGCCAGUCAAGUGCAGAAAGGUUUGAUGCAGGAGGAACGUAGAGCUAUUUUAGAAAACAAACCAUGGACAGUACUUGUAGCUACAGCACUUGUAGCAGGAAAACUGAUCUUUUUUGUUUUCCAUUGUGUAGUGCCUUUGCUUGUAGUUGGUGGGUUUAUCAUAAUUAUAUCCAGUCUAAUUUUGCAAGACACCUGCACCCAGUGCAGAACUGAGCACUGUCAGAGCAACCCCAGUGCUGCUGUAUAAGCAACAUUUUUCCUAUCCUAUGCAGCCACCAGGCAUGUGCUGCAGUUUUGAAAGCACUGAGAAACUUUUAUGUUUUACUGUGGAUGAUUUUUGAAUUUGUAUUUCAUUAAAUUCUCUUUAAAGAUAAAAUGGCAGAGUUCAACCAUAAAGGACUGUAAUUGUUGUGGAGGAAAUAAAAGUGGAACUUUUGAGGUGUUUCUUUUUAGGUCUUAUGAAAUACUUCAGGAAAUAGUUCCUACAGUAGGGCUUAUAUGUAAUUUUAAAUAUAAAAAUGCUGAAAUACUGAUUUUAGUGAUACCUGGUUCAUGAACUGAUUGAAAAUAGUUUUACUGGUGCAGAAAGAUAACCUUGCUCAAGAGUGAUACUGCUUUAAAGAGAGGAAUCCUAGUGUGUACUGUGAGCUUUGAGAUACUAAAUAGAGAGAAAGCUGAAUCUUUUCAAGUUACUGCUCUAAACAAGGUUUGAUUGAUAUUUUUCUGGGUUUGGAUCAAUUUAAGCUGUUUAUGCAGGAACUUGCUCAUUUUCAGUUUAAAUAAUUGGCCUGUUCAUUGGUUUUAUCCCUGUUUAAAACUAUUAUGAAAUAGUUCUUCCAAAUCACUGUUCUCCCUCACACAAGUCCUAAGUUGCAUUUUAUUUCUGCACCUCACAGUAUUGUCAAUAGUCUGUUACCAAAGGCACUGAUUUACAUUUCAGAUAGAAAAACAUUUUAAAAUGUAAUUUUUUAAUACUUCUGCUUCAUUAUGUCUAUAAUGAUGUUAAUAACAAGACAUUUUUGCAUUUUCCUCAUAUAUCAGAAAAUAAGGGGUUUAGUAUCUUGUCUCAGAUAAUUUUACUUUUUACAGGUGCAAAAUUUUAUUUCUUAUUUGUGUGUGUUGCCACACCACUAAUUAAAGAAAACCACACUGACCUUUAAGCAUUUUGAAAAAAUAAAUGUGAGCAUCUUGCUUAAUACGGUUAUUAACUUAUGCUUAACGCUUUGCUUUGCUUUUCAGGAGCUUGAAGAAAUCCGCAAAUGUGGAAUGAAAAACUUCCGUAAUAUCCAGGUUGAUGAAGCUAAUUUAUUGACCUGGCAAGGGCUUAUUGUUCCUGACAAUCCUCCAUAUGAUAAAGGAGCCUUCAGAAUUGAAAUCAACUUCCCAGCAGAAUAUCCAUUCAAACCUCCUAAGAUCACAUUUAAAACAAAGAUCUAUCAUCCUAACAUCGAUGAAAAGGGGCAGGUUUGUCUGCCAGUAAUUAGUGCUGAAAACUGGAAGCCAGCAACCAAAACUGACCAAGGUAGGACUUUGUGUGGAGAAAGAACUUGGUAUUGAGAAACUUUGCAGAGUGUUGACUUGUCAGUUUCCCAGUGCUCCGAGGGUAUAGUCAUUGUAAGGUUUGUGUCGUGAAUCCUGUGUGUUGAGCACAGAGUACAAUUUGUGAAAUCUCAUUUUCUUACUGGAAUGGGAGGUACUGGCACUGAAGUGGCAUUUCCACCUCCAGGAAACCACAAAACUCUUGAUGACUAAGGAGUUUAUUGAGGAAGUGUCCUCAGCAUACUUUAAAAUUUUGCUGGUAGUUUAUGUGGGGUUUAUUCUGUGUUUCUUUUUAAACAGUAACUUUUGAAUCCAAAGGUGUUCAGUAAAUUCCUGGAUGUUUGAAAGAAAGGAUCUAAAACCUCAAAGCUUUGUAUAUUUUAUAAUCUGCCAUGUGGUUCAUUGAUUUGAACAUAUGGCUUGAAAUAUCAUGGGAGUCGUAAACAAAAUCUGAGAUAAUAUUACAGAUUAAUUUGUAGGUCUUAACAGAUCAUUGCUGUCAGGCUUGCUGUAUAGAGUGUCUUUGAUAAGAAUGUAAAUAUUAUAAAGAAAAAAGUUUUGUCAGGUUCUGUGGCAGACCUAAGUGUAACAUAAGUAAGGCUUUUUCCUGUUGUUGCUUGCAUGAAUUGUUUGGGUUAGAACUUUGUUAUCUGGCAGGUAAUGAUUAGUUGAGUAUUAAGCUUUUGUUAUUAUACAUAUAGAAAGCAAACAUCCUUGCAAAAAAUGCUUGUUUUUUAAGAGUAUUAUUUCAAAUGAGCAGCAGUUUAGGGCAGUGCUAGAGCUUCAGUGACAGUGAAGUAUCUUGUUCCAUAAAAAAAAAAUACUUCUCCCUUCCAGGCUCUUCUUAAAGGUUAUUUUCACAUGAUCUGUGUUGCUGAUAGGAAACAAUGCUGCACUUAAGAUAUCUUUUUUCUGUUUAUCCCUGCAUACUAAAGAAAGUACUUCUCAAGGACAAAACAAGAAAAUCGUAGUUGUUUUAGAAGAGAUGAAAAGCUGAAUGUUGGUGACAAUGGAGGUGGCAGCAGAAAGAACCUGUGAAAUAGGACAGCAAAGAUCUUAGGUUUGCUGUAGAUUUAUCCCUGAUUGUACAGGACAAAGACUCUCAGGAGAGAGGAGAUGGAAAGAACAUGUGGAAGGUUUCUGUUCUGUUCCACACCUGAGCAGCUGUCUUGGUGCUGUCAGCCUUUGUGAGUUUACUAAAGGACUUACCUGUCUCUACCCAGCCUGAAAAACAAGCUGUCAUUAGCUGGAACUACUGAAACGCUUGUUUGCAUGCAGAAAAUAGUCAGUGUCUCCCUGAGAAGUAGGGAAACUUUUAUCUGAAAGAGUGAAUAAAAGCUGCGCUAAAAUCAGAAUUCUGAACCAAUCCUGGCUAUCAAAAUAUUGCAAAUCUCUCAUGGUCUGCUGUGUUGUGGUUUUUUUGUUUGUCUUAACUCUUUCUUCAAGUUGUUUUAGUGUCAACAUCUGUUGCUACUACAUGAUUGUAUGAACCUGUGACAAUGCUACUAAAACCCUGCUUAAAUGUCUACUCCUUUUCCUUCAGAUUUCUUCUUCACUGAAAAAUCAAUCCUAGCUUUUCUCAGUGAAAUAACAUGACAUCAUCAGUACAGCAUCAAAGUGAUUGGUUUUGUUCACGCAGGUGUCAGACAAGUGAUGUGAUAAAGUUCAUCAUAAAUCACUAACUUACCUUUUGCAUACUAAAUGUGCAUCUUACUGCUGCACUUUUUGUUAAUUUAUACUUAAUAUUAAAAAAUAACUGUUAAUGGCAGGAUAGUUUUCAAAACUCUGUAGUUAUUGAGACAGCUCCUGUUCUGCCAGGCCUGUUUUUUCUGGCUUUUUACUGUUGCUAAGGUUAUUGAAGACACAUUUUCUCUGUAGUGUUUUUGCAAGCUUUGCUCAGUGAGAAGGGAUUGCCACUCAGUGUUUCUGCUGUUUUCAUCAAUGUGAUGGCACUUGUAAGGCCAGGACUGGUGAGUUACUGUGAAGGAAGAUGGUAUCAAUUCUGCAUUUCUUAGAUAGUUUGUUGCAGUUUAAACUUGGAUUUGUGGUAAGAAAUGCUCCUGUUUAGCAGUUUAGAGAUAAAUGUCAGAUUUGAGCGUUGCUUUGAGUAUUUGUUUUGAGGUUUGUUCAUGGGUGGAAAAGACUGAGAUCAAUGCCCCAAACAAAGUCACUCUGGUGUUCCAACAUCUGCUGGAGUGACCAUCAUUGUAUGAGCUUGCAUUCCUGCCCAGGGAAACAUGUAGCAGUAAAUGGCACUGUGGGCUGUGCGGUUUGCUGUGUAAAUGUCAGGUGCACUUCCAUUCCCUGAAGAAUGUCUUGUCUUUGGAAAGUGACAAGGACAAUGGUGACAUUGCUGUGGGCACCUUGCCACUCUCACCCCGUUGUUUGCCCAGUACAUCUCCACUGGUGCCUGCCUUGGGAAGUUGAGAGUAAAGGGAAGACAUUCCUGCUGUUCAUAGGAAAAGUAAGAAUCAUAGGGAAAUAAAGCUGUAAAAAAGGGUUUCCAGAAGAGGGCCAGUCACAGCUGCAUCCCUGUGACAGGUGUUGGGAAAUGCUUCAUGGUGCAAAUUCCAUCUUUACCAAAUCCCUUCAGUGAACCUGCCUGAGAACUUUGAUUCGUUCUCAGCCAUAGGAGAGGAUUUUAGAUGGGCUGCCAAUUGCAUGGGAGAUAAUUUGUAGUGCACUUUAGUCUCUAUUCAUGUUGAUUUUGUUUACAAAUACGAUUUUUCUGGUGUUCAUUCAAGGUCAUUGAGCUAAAUCUUGGCAUAUCACUGCAGCUUACUCACGCCCUGCGCUUGAAAAGGCCUGAGAUUUAUGGGGAUGUAUUUAAAUGCAGCUAAAGCUCUUUCCUUACAGGGGAAUUUUGCUUACAUUUUGAUUUUGAAAAAUUAACCAUCUAAGUGUCUGACGGUAUUUAUACUUCUUUUGACAGUAAUCCAGUCCCUCAUAGCACUGGUGAAUGAUCCACAGCCCGAGCACCCCCUCCGGGCUGACCUAGCUGAAGAAUACUCUAAGGACCGUAAAAAAUUCUGUAAGAACGCUGAAGAGUUUACAAAGAAAUAUGGUGAAAAGCGACCAGUGGACUAAAAUCUGGCACAAGUGCUGUCAGCAACCUAUGAUAGAAGAUCGGAGCAGUGCAUUUGAGACACCCCGUAAAGCAGGACUCUAUGGAAAAUUGACAAGUGCCACCUUUCGGUGUGAACUUGUGGCUGUUACUAACUUUCUACAGUUUUCUUAAUCAAAAGUGGGCUAGGUAACCUGUAAAGAAAGGAUUAAAAUUUAAGAUGUUCUAGUUCUGCUUUCUUUGUUUAAAAAUCACUGCUUCAAUAUACUUUAAAGUAUGCUGUUUUCUUUUUCUUGUCAGAAUUUAUCAAAAAUAUCUUAGACUUAUAUUCUGCCCUUAAAUUGAAAAGGUUGUGGCUGUCAUUUCUUAUUUUUCCUUGCAGUUCCCACUAUCUUGAGUUUAUUCAUUGAAUUUUAACCCCCUCCUCAAAGUGAUGUCUUAGGAAAAAUAUCCCAGUUCCGGCAGAAAAUGAUUGAGUGUUUGGCAGUUUCGUUUACCUUUCUUUCUAAAUGUUGCACUGUGCUUUGUGGGACUUGUUGCAAGUUCCCCUGAACUUCAGUUUGUAACAUAAUAAACAAAAUCCAACCCACAAAACCAAUCAGAAAUAAUGUCUGGGUCUGAUGUAAAUCUGGCCAAUGUCUAUUAAAUGGGGAAACCCAAGUUUUUGUGUGCAUCAUUGAAUUAGAAUAUGGCCUAUGUUCUGCUCUCGGAAAAUUUUGGAAAAAAUCUGUAGCAAACAAGUAGUAGAAUGUGAUUGCAAACUUCCUUCACUUCUCUCUUUAAUACCUAUGCAGAGUAGUGGGAAACAUGCACAGAACAACAUUGCAACCAAUCCAGGAGAGUUCCAGAAAUCGGGGACCAAGAGGUACCAAAGUGACAAACUGUCUUUUGAGUUUAAAAUCAUUAUUUUGGAAACGUUAAUUUUGAAUUCAUUAACUAAAUCUGGCAGCACUGCUGUCCUCUCUGAACGUUUUCCCUCAGAAUGCGUCAGGAGCAUCUGUGUUUGUGGGACGGCUGUCGAGCUGUUCCCAGCCCCAGCACUGCUGCGAGGCCAGGCCUGAGCAAUAAGGUGUGACAGAGAGUGCUGGGCUGCUGCUGCUGCUGUGUUCAGCCACAGGGCAGGGCUUUAGUGAGUGUUCAGUGUCAGGGCAGCUUCAUCAGCCCCAUGGGGCUGAGCUGUCCCGGGGCACUCCUGCGCCUGCUGAAGGAAAGGAAAGGGAACCCUUUCUGUUCAGAGCUGAGCAUCCUUUGCUGUGUCUCUGCUGCUUCUGCUGCCUUUCCUCCUCAGCCUGGAGCGUGAUCCUAGCUCCACUCUUUGUCAAACUGCCACACAGUCAACCUGAUGUCUCCCUUUCUGCAGCUGGGGUCUGCUACUGAGUGAAUGGAUUAUUUCCAGAAAUCCAUCGGUAUCUGGGAGCACAUAUCAUUUCAAUGUGCAGGAAGCUGAGGUGAAAAAACCCUGACACUUAGGUGGUUGCCUGUACUCCUAAAUUCAGUUUUAAUACAGCCUCUGCCUUUGCAACCUUUUGGAACUAGUGUGUCAAGCAGUAGAUCUCUCUUGGUUUUAAUGUCUUGUGUAUUUGCUAUUUCCUUAUUCGUCCCUCUCCUCUGGCUUUUAUUUCCAAUUUAGUGUAAACAAUGACAGCCCAGUACCUCACCUCUGUUGAAAGUAAAUUUUUUUAUGAGUUAGGGAGCUAAGAAAUUUUAUGUUUAAGUGUUCUUAGACAGAUUCUUUGGCAGGUAAAUAAAGUUAAACCACAUUCACCUUAUUUACGGAAACUUGCAUUUCCUAAGUGUUUUCAGGCUUGUGAGAGCACGAUUACCAAAUUUUCACAUCUUUGUGUCUUCAUUUGCAGAAAGUUGGUACUGAUUUUGUUUCAUUUACACUCACUCAGAUUCAUAAUAAAAUAAUGCCAAAUUAUCUGUCAAACUGAAGUGUGUAACUUCUGCAUCACCUGAGUCACUGUACCUUUGAUCAUGUCUGUUGGCAUGGAAACUUACCAUUCUCUAAAUUUUAUUUGAAACAAAACUGUAGCACUAGUUUGCUGCCCUUGUUGCUACUCAGUAGUUACUCUGUGGUUGUAAAGCCUCUCAGGUCAAAGACUGCGCCUGCCUGCCUGCCUGCCUGGCUGUGAUCGGAUGCGGCGGGACGGACAGACGGGCUGUGCCAUCGCAGGAGCUCCGGCUGGGCCGCACCGGCCGCUCCCAUCCAGCUGCAGAGGUCACACGAAGACAGAUCUCGCUAUCAGUCCUCUUGGUGUGUUCUUCAUAGUCCAAUUACUAAACUGUGAGACGUGUAAACAAAGUGCUGGCACGUGUCUGGGGCAGCCUCUGAACAAAGGGAUCCGGCACCUGUGUGGCUGAAGGCUGAGGAGGAGAAAUCCAAGUAUGAAGUCCUAUGAUAACUCAGGAAAUCAAGCUCUUGUUCUCUCUGGUUCCCUAAGCCAUGCUGAAUUUUAAACGUGCAGUUGAACAUCCACAAUGAAAGCAGCGCACUGGUGAAACUACACCCAGGAGUACUGGUAUAGGCUUUCUGCAAGUCCAUUCUGCUACCCUAAUAAAAAU